AAAGGUACAGCUCAGUGGUAGAGUGCCUCCUUAGCAUGCAAGAGGUCCUGGGUUCAAUCCCCAGUACCUCCA
rnacentral:tRNA from 1 species